rnacentral:lncRNA from 1 species
CCUUGCUUAACACCAGUUGCCUCUUUCAAGACCCUGCCUUCAAAUGCGUCCCACCUGAGGUCCCGGGAUGAAGCGCCCAUCGGGGAUGGGGGGAGGGGGCAGACAAACCCCCGACACGGCCCCUGCUCAGGCGGCCCUUCCCGCGGCUGGACGUUUCCAGAGGCCGGCCAGCCACCAGGGCCCACGUCAGCACGGCCAGAGGCCCCCGGAAGUGCCAGGCGGGGUCCAGGAGCACCCGCCGCAGAGGGAGGGGAGGGGGAGAGCCCCACGAGGCCAGGGCCUGAGGGAGGGACAAGACGCAGGCUGAGCCGCGGGGCCGGGUCACCCACCGGCCCCGCCGAAGGGCAGCCUCGCCCCUCCAAGCCCAGCGGGGUGACUGACCGACCAGAGGAGAGACGGGGACGGCGUCUGAACCGCGUGGCCCGGGUCCGGGCUCACAGGGACCUCUGCGGCGGCUGUGCGGCCGCAUCCCGCCCACCACGCGGGGACGCUGGAGACGCCACCUCUGAGGGUCCCCCAACCCGGCCCCGCUGUGGGGAAGAAACCCCACACCCUGGCCAGAGCAUCUGCCCUGAGCUGCCCAGAUGCGCAGGGCCUCCCCGCCCCGACGCGCGUGUCCUCACGACGAGGAGCCCAAGGCCCCCGGAGCCCCGGGCACCCGGGAGCCCCAGCGACAGCGGAAGAGGCGGGACAGGGCCGAGCUCCGCGCGCAGGCCUCGUCCUGCUGCGUUCCUUCUAGAACCUUCCACACCGCUGGGUAAUGACCGCCAGGGGGGCCUCCUGACCCCACGGGUGGCUUCGCCACCAGGGUUUGAGAUGGGGGGCGGGGGUAAGGACAGCAGGAACGGCAAGGACCCAGCGAAGGGAGUGGCCUCUUUCUUUCUGCUUUUCCAUUUCUGGCCGCGCCCGGCGCACGGGGAAGUUUCCAGACCAAAACUUCAAACUGCCCCACAGCUGCGACCCAAGCUGCUGCAGCGACCACGGCUAGGCCACCAAGGAACGCUGACCGUCCGGUCUAUGUACCUCGGUGCAACUCCGCCCGCUUUUCCUGGGCCCGUGCGCGCGGGCUGCGGGGGACGCGGCGGUGAACGCGACCACCGGGGCCCCGCCCGGGACGCGUCCCACACGUGCACAAGGGCGAACCUGGGGGCUGAGACCGCUUGCGACACAGCCUCACGCACGAACACUUUCAGCACAGCCCUACCUGCCAGGCUCGCCGCGGGCCUCUGUCCUGCGGGGAGAAGGAACGGGCACCCCUGA